CCUCACGGACAUACGGGACACGUGCGGUUUCUAACAUGCGUAGAAACCAGUACAUCAACGAAACCAGAGCCACGACCAAAGGUGAAUCGAUACUCUUUAAAAUCGAAGAAAGUUCAUCAAAAUAACAUCAAUUGCGGUAAGCUCUUGGUAAUAUCCGGUGGCGAUGGUUACGAGGAUUUCAGAGGACCACAAGCAUCCGCAGAAUUACAAGCAGGUCGCGAGGAUUCGACGAAUCAUCUUCUUUUGUGGAAGGUGUGAUAUAUUUCUACACGGCCCGAGGCGGGGGUCGCAUUUUACGAUAUUCGGCACAACACACCGUGGGAAUCGUUGCUGUCGAGCUUACAGCCAACGUGCCAACACCGUCACGAUGUACAGAACGUGGAUAACACAGACAGAUCCACAAGACGAUUUUUCAGGCAACGAAGAAAAGUUCUCUGGUUACUCCUGGUGGAAUGCAUUAGAACCAGGAUAAGAGUUCCAAUACAUGAAGAGCGAAGUGAAAUUCCCUUUUCAGGAUAAAAAAUCUUGCUUAAGGAUUUUUGGUGGAGUGAUUAAUUGGUCGAGAGAUUUUCUUGAGUUUCGUCCUCGAUCGAAACGAGAUUUCCUUCUUUCUUUUCCUCUUCUUCUUCUUCCUCUUCUUCUUCUUCUUCUUCUCCUUCUUCUCCUUCUCUAUUUCUUCUCGUUCGAGGAAAGAUCGCUCACCGUUGCCGUUGAAUGUGUCCAGUAAAUUACUCUAAUUAGAGGGGUUUACUGAGAAUGAUCUGCAAUUGUUAAGACGAUUAUAAGCAGAAACGCUAGAGACUUCUUUUGUUGCGGAGUCGUUUCUUGCUCGCUCGAAUUUCUACGACAAAGUUGCACCACAAAACGAAAGGACGAAAAAUGGUGUUGGUAGCACUUUGUCUAAAAAAUUAUAAAAUCUCUAUGGACUAUGUUAGUCUAUUAUUCGAGCAUAAAUCUUGUAUUAUCGUCGGAGCAGGAAUUAGAAGGACGGUGGAAAAUAAAAACUUUAUGAUGUGUCAAUAUCUUGUUAUAAUAGAGACGAUAAUGAUUAAUGUGUGGUACCUGAAAUGGCUUAAAAAAACGAGCUUAUAACGUUUUAAAUGGCCUAAAUUAUACGAUGAGAUUGAAAGUUUUAUCAUUUCUUACGAAUGUUAAAAUAUUGACAAGAUUUUAUCGUUGUCCUUUGAGGACACAACAAAACCUAAAUGUACCUCGUUAUUGAAUUUGAAUGUUUAAAUGAUGUAAAUUAAUGUGUCCGUGUAUUCCGUGAAAAGAUAGUACGUAAAAAUAAUAAUUUUCAAUUAAAGAUGUAUCAUGUCUUGUGUGUGUGUGUGUUUGUAUGGUGUGUGGGUGUGUGUGUGUGUUUGUGUAUGGUGUGCGAGCGUGUGUGAGUGUAUGUAUGCGGACGUUUAUGGGUGUACACGCGAAUGUAGACAUUGAAUAUUAUACAAUGAUCCAUAUCAAAAAAAAAGUGCAAAUUAAUGAAACGAAGUCGUUCCUACGUUAUGAUUGACUCUCUUGUGGUUCCUAUGCUUACGUGCGUAUUAUCAAUAAACGCGAAGUACGUUUUGACAAUAAUUUAUUAUCAAGAAAUUUUUUAAAAUUGUUUCACACUUGAUCAAUGAAAAUGGUUCAUAACAUCGAAACGCUGUAUAUAGUAUGAUUGUAAAGAGAUAGAAAGCCUAUAAAAAAUUAUUCUCUCUAUUAUGAAAUAUAUUGUUGUUCAACGUGAUAUUGAUAUUUAAAUAUAUAAACAUAUGUGUUCAAGUGUGAAGAAAAGCAAAAAAAAAGAAACAAGGAAAUUGUAAUUUUGCUAAUUUAAGACUGAAUGAAAGAUACAUAUGACGAUAUAUACAAAGUUAUAAAUAUUAUUCUUCGAUCGUACAUUUGUACCACUUUAUUGUGUGAACGAAUAAAACAAUAAUCGAA